rnacentral:lncRNA from 10 species
ACAAUGAAUUCAUUAUGCUCCCAGAGAGAAGAGAUCAAAAGAAGGAUGAUCCCCACACAGAUGUGCAAGUGACUAAUUCAGUCCAGAAGGAAACCAGGCCCCCCUCACAGUGUUGAGAGAAGACAGCACCAGCCAGCCUUGUAGCCUGAGAAGCUGUCUCCUCACCAGGAGAUAUACUGAAUAAGGUUUUCCUGCCUCUACAGGUUUUUCUUCAUGAAGAGUUCGCUGUUAGAGACGUUGCUGCACAUCUACCUGGUGAAGGCAUAAUU